rnacentral:SRP_RNA from 1 species
GCCGAGCUCAGCUGCGCGGGCUUGUAACCUUAGUGGGGGCAUUAAGGUGAUGAGACAUGGACUAGAGUCCAUUGGGCCGGGUCUGAUGAAGGCUUUCCGCUGGCCUGCCCGUUCCAAGCCGAGAGUUUGGCGAUGUGGCCGGUCGAAGGGCCGGGCCUUCCCGCCCCUACAGAGGAGUAUGCCGCGUGACGCUAGGUUUCACCGAGCCAGCGAGACCUCCCGCUCCCGGCGGUGGAGGAUAACGGACCAGUGCAUGUCAGGCCCACCAUGGCCCAUUGGGCCAAGUUCAACUGGAUCAUCUCCUUU